rnacentral:rRNA from 1 species
UGCCAGCAGCCGCGGUAAUACGGAGGGUGCAAGCGUUAAUCGGAAUUACUGGGCGUAAAGCGUGCGUAGGCGGCCUGUUAAGUUGGAUGUGAAAGCCCCGGGCUCAACCUGGGAACUGCAUCCAAAACUGACAGGCUUGAGUGCGGAAGAGGAGUGUGGAAUUUCCUGUGUAGCGGUGAAAUGCGUAGAUAUAGGAAGGAACACCAGUGGCGAAGGCGACACUCUGGUCUGACACUGACGCUGAGGUACGAAAGCGUGGGGAGCAAACAGGAUUAGAUA